ensembl:snRNA U2 U2 spliceosomal RNA
AUUGCUUCUCAGCCUCUUGGCUAAGAUCCAGUGUAGUAUCUGUUCCUAUCAUAAUUGCCCUUGAUACAUAAAAGUUUAUUUUCAAGAAGGAAUUACCAUGGCUUUGUUAUAAGUUCAAUACUA